rnacentral:rRNA from 1 species
AUUGAACGCUGGCGGCAUGCCUUACACAUGCAAGUCGAACGGUAGAGGGGGCAACCUCUCGAGAGUGGCGAACGGGUGAGUAAAGCAUCGGAACGUGCCCAGUAGUGGGGGAUAGCCCGGCGAAAGCCGGAUUAAUACCGCAUGAGACCUACGGGUGAAAGGGGGGGAUCGCAAGACCUCUCGCUAUUGGAGCGGCCGAUGUCAGAUUAGGUAGUUGGUGGGGUAAAGGCCUACCAAGCCGACGAUCUGUAGCUGGUCUGAGAGGACGACCAGCCACACUGGGACUGAGACAAGGCCCAGACUCCUACGGGAGGCAGCGGUGGGGAAUUUUGGACAAUGGGCGAAAGCCUGAUCCAGCCAUGCCGCGUGCGGGAAGAAGGCCUUCGGGUUGUAAACCGCUUUUGUCAGGGAAGAAAUCCUUUGAGUUAAUACCUCGGGGGAUGACGGUACCUGAAGAAUAAGCACCGGCUAACUACGUGCCAGCCGCCGCCGUAA